rnacentral:lncRNA from 1 species
AUAUUGUGCAUGCAUGUUAUAUAGAAAUUCCAAAAUAAUCCUUGUCAACAAAACAUGUUAUUUGAUCCUCUUACAGACUGCAAAGGUAUGUCUCAUGCUCUACAGAUUGUCAACCAUCUUAUGCUUGCACUCAUCAUCGACUGCUAUAUAUGUUAUAAGGCACGAUAACAAAUUGUGCUUCAUCACCUCUUGCAAAUCUCACGACCUCCAAUCCUUGAUGCACUAAAUCGACUUUCACCACGACCAUUUAUGUUCCCUCGCCACCCCUGCUCGGAUGAAGAGGUGACUGAAAAGAAAAUGAUAUAAGUACAUCAAACAAUCAGAUCAGGGCUGUUAACAAUCCAGAAAUGCCGUAAGUCAUACUGGUGUACAUGAAUAACCAAAUGGCAUAUACAAUUGUCCUAAAGAGGGUAAAUAGAAAGUUUAACCAAAGUAAUCUUACAACCUCAUAUUAGAGGUUAGAUAUCUUUCACGGCGAUUACGGAAUGAACACUCUUACAGUAAAGCGAGUCAGUGGUGACAACGGGAGGCACACGCGUAGUCGGCGACAACUGCGCGGAUGAGAGGGUAGGACAGGGGGACUUAGUUUGUGGUCCUGUAGCUACACGAUGGAAGAAGUAAAAAAAAUCAGUGUAUGCUCAGUCCAUGCAACAUUAAAAGUGCACCCAAAAAAGAAAAUCAAAAACUCAGUUUAUUCUCAUGGUUCUUUACUCAACACUUGCUUGGCCAUGUUGCUCUUUCCCCUACGCCUAUUCGCUGCACGUCACAACAACACAUGCCAAAAGAAAUCUGGAAUAUAAUGACUAAAAAUUUUGGAUAUAAUGCCACAAAAACUUGCAAAAUUUCUUUUAAAUAUGAAUCUCUACUCUCCCCUGUUUACGAAAAUAUGUUGUGCUCUAGCUAGUCUAUACAGAUCAUACAGGUUCUAUUGGUUAUAGGGGUCACUAAUAAGUGGAGAAAUAUGUAUAGAGAGAUAUGGGUGAGAAAGGCGCAGUACCAUUGCCUAUGUAACGUAUUAGUGUAACAUUCAUCAGUAUUAUAUACCGUGAAAUGUACAAGUCCACAUUGCAGACCACCCAAACAUGUCACAAUCCCUAUAUUGAGCUGAUAAAGCAAAAGAACAACCAGUCAGAACAUACUUAAAGUCAGGUCAAUUUACAAAUUGCAGGCAAUGAUCAAGAGUAGGUGAAUUACUAACCAAAGAAAGCCUCCAGAAUCAAAUCGAGCAUGACACCAUCAUGGACAUCAGGUUGAAGCGAUCUAUUUCUAGAUAAUAUACCUUGCAUUCCUGUAGUAAUAAAGCAUGAACAAUGAUUGGAGAUUAGAGGAAAAAAUGAUAGAAAGAAAUAGUUGUGAGAGAUCUUGCAUUCACAUUUCAUGUAGCACAAUGAGAGAGAGAAAAUACAGGCAAAUAUAAAAAAUAAGGCCAAGAAUUGUUUUCUUAAAGGCCUUAAAAUGAAAUGGUAAAGAAAAACAAACCCCAUUGAAGAAAAGAACAAAAUAUGUGCUUCAGGUAGAAGCAUCAGUCACCAGGCUCACAUCAUUAUUCUUUGCCAUGGUGCAGGCUUUGGUGCUGAAUGUAGAAUCUAGGCUUCCUCCUGACUACCCUUCUAAUGGUAUCCUCUCCUGCCUCAAUCUAUGUUGCGUGGAUACUUCAGAAAGCGCAUGUAUCCAGCCGGAUACUGCCCCGAUAUGUAUCCCGUAAGUAUCUCUUGAUUUUUUUAUUUGAAAAAAAGAAAAUAAUGUUCGGUACUCCUGGGAUACUGCUGCGAUACAUUUUGGAUACCUCAAACCCCUCGUUCAACCUGAAAUCCCCUCAAUAAAAAAGGCGCACGUUUGAAGAUUCCCAACAUGGGCGUGAGUUCAUGUCAAAACAUGACUGUCAAUGUUCUUGUUCACCAGCCAUGUUGCUCUAAUUUCCCCUAUGCCUAUUCGCUGCACAUCACAACAACACAUGCCAAAAGAAAAUCUGGAAUAUAAUGACUAAAAAUUUGGAACAUAAUGCCACAAAAACUUGCAAAAUUUCUUUUAAAUAUGCAUCUCUACUCCCUCCUGUUCACAAAAAUAUGUUGUACUCUAGCUAGCAUAUACAGAUCAUACAUGUUCUAUUGAUUGGGGGGUCACUAAUCAGUGGAGAAAUAUGUAUAGAGAUAUAUGGGUGAGAAAGGCGCAGUACCAUUGCCUAUGUAACAUAUUAGUGUAACAAUCAUCAGUAUUAUAUACCUUGAAAUGUACAAGUCCACAUUGCAGACCACCCAAACAUGUCACAAUCCCUAUAUUGAGCUGAUAAAGCAAAAGAACCAGUCAGAACCUACUUAAAGUCAGGUUGAUUUACAAAUUGCAGGCAAUGAUUAAGAGUAGGUGAAUUACUAACCAAAGGAAGCCUUCAGAAUCAAAUCGAGCUGACACCAUCAUGGAUCAUUAGGUUGAAGCGAUAUAUUUUCUAGAUAAUAUACCUUGCAUUCCUGUAGUAAUAAAGCAUGAACAAUGACUGGAGAUUAGAAUAAAAAAGAAUAGAAAGAAAUAGUUGUGAGAGAUCUUACAUUCACAUUUCAUGUAGCACACUUAGAGAGAGGAAAAGACCGGCAAAUAUAAAAAAUAAGGACAAGAAUUGUUUUCUUAAAGGCCUAAUUAAAAUGAACUGGUAAAGAACAGCAAACCCCAUGGAAGAGAAGAACAAAAUAUGUUCUUCAGGUAGAAACAUCAGUCACCAGACUCACAUCAUUGUUCUCUGCUAUGGUGCAGGCUUUGGUGCUGAAUGUAGACUCUAGGCUUCCUCCUGACUGCCCUUCUCAUGGUAUCCUCUCAUGCCUCAAGCCCCCAAUCGACUUCUCCAAUCUCCAACUUGCCCAUGUGUUGCAGCAUGUCCCAAAAAGAGACAAACAUGAGGUACUGCGUCUUGCCCGGGACAUCAACCUAUGUACAAAAAGAUUUCUUAGUAUUAGUUCAUACUCCGUACUUCAUAGCUGGAAGAAAGUAAUAUUAAAGGAAUGGUUCAAUCACAGUAUAACCUAGAAGUGUACAAAUUAAAGAGAAGUCUUAACCUUUAGACAAGCUAAGACAACUUCCCCAACUUUGUCCCAUCCGCUUCUAGACUUCACACGCGCACCACGAUUGUGCUACUUAUACAUGCCUAUAUUAGAACAGAUUCGGCAGAAAGCAGGUCAAUUGGCAUGAACAUAAAUAUAUAAGGGUGUAUGUAAGAUCUCACAUCUGUAAGUACUCAACCGUUUUUUGUGCGUCCACACUCUGCAAGCAUUACCAAAGAUGAGUGGAUCUAGUUGAGAGUUUAAAAGCAAGGUGCAUAUAUUCAAUUUUUUUUAAAUGUUUUGGUAUGUUUUAUUGCGUGGGUGCACCAAGGUGGGGUUUAGCCACUACUUUCCCUAUAUUCAAAUGUAAGUCAUAUUGGCACACAUGCAGCUCUACAUCUACACUGAAGUCUGAAUUUGAAAUUUUUUGAUAUAGAUAGUAGUGUCUACACUCUUCAUGUAGAUCACAAUAUCACAUUAUAAUCCUCUACAAUGGUUACAUGUAAAGCAAAUUUGGAGGCAUAUACAACUAAAAAGUAAAUCAUUGUAUCAUGGAAAUGACAUACUAAUAUGGACCAUGGAAUAAAAUACUAUUGGAAGGCAUGUCUGCAAGGAUUGUUUAGAAACUUGAUCACUGUAUCAUGAAAAUGAUAUUGCAAGAGCUGACCUUUCCCUUGUGCACAUUCCCAUGCUUUGACUAAAAUAGAGCAUUUGCAGUUCCUGCUUGGAUGCUCACUUUCUUUCUGUUUACUCACUUCAUAUGCUAUCCCCUGAUCAAAUCAACAGCUAGCCAACCAGCUCUACUUUUGCAGUUUGCAUUCAACACUCCAAAGGGAAAAUUAGAGGCCACCCAUGGCUUCAAGGAUGAGGUAGUAACAGCAAGGUCGAUGAGUAGCGAGAGCGCACCAGACACGGUUGCCCCAGCCCCUCCUCCUCGACGGCACCGCGGAGAUUGAGCCGCUACCGCACAGGGAGAGCCUAAGGAGCCGGUCAAGGAGACAGUACUGGCACACGUCGUUGUAGACACAAGGAGAUAGUACGGUCACACUUCAUCCUCCAUUAACUCUAACAUGAGCAUGUAGGCGCCUGCUACAGAAAACGGGCGUGUAAAAAUCCGCACGAGGAUGCAAAGAAAAUGGACAGUAAGGGGCCUUCUUUGUCAAAAAUGGUGCAUCUAGUUGGUUAACAAACUGCAGCUCAAAGAAAAAAAAAAGCAACUACUUGGUAAAAAUGUCCCGAUAAUUCCUGGCAAGAAGCUAUGUUGCAACAAAGAUUAAUCUUAAAUUACCAAUCACCUCCAAGCAUGUUCUUACGUCCACCCAAAGCUAUGACACCUUCAUCAGGAAAUAAUAUAUUUCAAACAUGAGUACAUGACUCACGUAGCUAGUUCCAUAUACAUACCCUGGGUGUAUACACUAAAGCAAUUUCAGGUGACAGUGUGAUGCUAUCCAUUAGUGAAGCCCCAUGAAUCGUCCAUUUAUUUAUUCACUCAAGGCAUUUAUAUCUUCCCCCAUUCUCCUAUCAUCUAUAUUCUCUC